AACUUAGAUACAGGUGCUGCAUGGCUGUCGUCAGCUCGUGUCGUGAGAUGUUGGGUUAAGUCCGCAACGAGCGCAACCCUUUUCCUUAUUUGCCAGCGGGUAAUGCCGGGAACUUUAAGGAUACUGCCAGUGACAAACUGGAGGAAGGCGGGGACGACGUCAAGUCAUCAUGGCCCUUACGGCCAGGGCUACACACGUGCUACAAUGGUCGGUACAAAGGGUUGCUACCUCGCGAGAGGAUGCUAAUCUCAAAAAGCCGAUCGUAGUCCGGAUCGCAGUCUGCAACUCGACUGCGUGAAGUCGGAAUCGCUAGUAAUCGCGGAUCAGAAUGCCGCGGUGAAUACGUUCCCGGGCCUUGUACACACCGCCCGUCACACCAUGGGAGUUUGUUGCACCAGAAGUAGGUAGUCUAACCGCAAGGAGGACGCUUACCACGGUGUGGCCGAUGACUGGGGUGAAGUCGUAACAAGGUAGGCGUAGAUGA
rnacentral:rRNA from 1 species